rnacentral:ribozyme from 1 species
AAGAAAAGGGAAAGAAAAGCACUGGUGUUUAGGAAAUUUGGUUGAAUUUUUUUUUGCGUAUGUUUAUACAUGAUUUAAAACAAACAAAAAGAAAAAAAAAC